rnacentral:rRNA from 1 species
UGGAAAUCGGGGCCUCCCGGCCUUGAAUUGUADUCUUGADAUGUACUGCCAACGGAGGCGCAGAUGUAAGCCUCUUGGAAAAGAGCAUCAACGAGGGUGAGAGUCCCGUUUGUCAUCUGCAGUCCNCCCGUGUACGGUGUACAUUCUAAGAGUCACGUUCCUCGGGAUUGGAGCGCAAAGUGGGUGGUAAAUUUCAUCUAAAGCUAAAUAUUGGUUCGAGACCGAUAGCAAACAAGUACCAUGAGGGAAAGGUGAAAAGGACUUUGAAAAGAGAGUUAAAAGUGCCUGAAAUUGCUGAAAGGGAAGCGAAUGGAACCVGUGUUCUUGAUGAGAUUGUCGUGUACUCUGGUGAUUGCUGGGUGCUCCACCGCAAGGGGGGCAUUUGGUUUUGAGCUAGAUGUGCGUGGUGUUUCUUGUCUUGUGUGUCACCGUCGGUGCAUGAGCGAGUAAACCUCCAGGGAGAUGGUAUCUCGACCGCGGUUGAGUGAAUGUCUCUGGCAGUACUCAUUUAUGUAUCGAUCCCUGCGUGUCUGGUUGCAGUGUUUGAGUCGUCUGGAAGCUCCUGAAAGGCUUGCCCUCGAAGGACUUUCUGGGCACCUCGAGCAUCUCCCUGACACAAAGACGAUGACUAAAUGGUUCUAUUCGACCCGUCUUGAAACACGGACCAAGGAGUCUAACAUAUGUGCGAGUUCACGGGUGUUAAACCUGAAUGCGCAAUGAAAGUGACUGCUGGGAUUUUUGCACCAGCAACCGACCAAUCAAUUGAGAGAGGUUUGAGUAUGAGNCAUAUCUGUUAGGACCCGAAAGAUGGUGAACUAUGCCUGAGAAGGGCAAAGUCAGGGGAAACUCUGAUGGAGGCUCGUAGCGAUACUGACGUGCAAAUCGUUCGUCAUACUUGGGUA